AUUGAACGCUGGCGGCAGGCUUAACACAUGCAAGUCGAGCGGGGGAAGGUAGCUUGCUACCGGACCUAGCGGCGGACGGGUGAGUAAUGCUUAGGAAUCUGCCUAUUAGUGGGGGACAACAUCUCGAAAGGGAUGCUAAUACCGCAUACGUCCUACGGGAGAAAGCAGGGGAUCUUCCGACCUUGCGCUAAUAGAUGAGCCUAAGUCGGAUUAGCUAGUUGGUGGGGUAAGGGCCUACCAAGGCGACGAUCUGUAGCGGGUCUGAGAGGAUGAUCCGCCACACUGGGACUGAGACACGGCCCAGACUCCUACGGGAGGCAGCAGUGGGGAAUAUUGGACAAUGGGGGGAACCCUGAUCCAGCCAUGCCGCGUGUGUGAAGAAGGCCUUAUGGUUGUAAAGCACUUUAAGCGAGGAGGAGGCUACUUUAGUUAAUACCUAGAGAUAGUGGACGUUACUCGCAGAAUAAGCACCGGCUAACUCUGUGCCAGCAGCCGCCGUAA
rnacentral:rRNA from 1 species